GAUGAACGCUGGCGGCGUGCCUAAUACAUGCAAGUCGAGCGAACAGACGAGGAGCUUGCUCCUCUGACGUUAGCGGCGGACGGGUGAGUAACACGUGGAUAACCUACCUAUAAGACUGGGAUAACUUCGGGAAACCGGAGCUAAUACCGGAUAAUAUAUUUAACCGCAUGGUUCAAUAGUGAAAGACGGUUUUGCUGUCACUUAUAGAUGGAUCCGCGCCGCAUUAGCUAGUUGGUAAGGUAACGGCUUACCAAGGCGACGAUGCGUAGCCGACCUGAGAGGGUGAUCGGCCACACUGGAACUGAGACACGGUCCAGACGCCUACGGGAGGCAGCAGUAGGGAAUCUUCCGCAAUGGGCGAAAGCCUGACGGAGCAACGCCGCGUGAGUGAUGAAGGUCUUCGGAUCGUAAAACUCUGUUAUUAGGGAAGAACAAAUGUGUAAGUAACUAUGCACGUCUUGACGGUACCUAAUCAGAAAGCCACGGCUAACUACGUG
rnacentral:rRNA from 1 species